rnacentral:rRNA from 1 species
UACGAAGGGGGCUAGCGUUGCUCGGAAUCACUGGGCGUAAAGCGCACGUAGGCGGAUUUUUAAGUCAGGGGUGAAAUCCUGGAGCUCAACUCCAGAACUGCCUUUGAUACUGGGAAUCUCGAGUCCGGGAGAGGUGAGUGGAACUCCGAGUGUAGAGGUGAAAUUCGUAGAUAUUCGCAAGAACACCAGUGGCGAAGGCGGCUCACUGGCCCGGUACUGACGCUGAGGUGCGAAAGCGUGGGGAGCAAACAGG